AUGUACGGAUGUGUGUUUCUAUUUAUCAGAGAAAGUAAUGUUGAUGACAUAGUAAAUGAAGAGCAAAAGUUAAUAAGUACUUACGAAUUAGUGAAGCAAGAAGAAUAUUAUAAUGCAAUGAUAAGAGAAAAAGAAAAGUGGCAAAAUGAAAAUAAAAAUAAACAAAAAAAUAUAAACAAAGAAACAGCUGUUUCUGAUGCUUCAUUUUUCAACGAAUUAGAAAAAACUAGUAGCAUUAUAACUAUUAAAGAUAUUAAUGAAUGUGAGGAUUAUACAGACAUUCAAACGCUUGAUUCAUUCAUUAAUGAAAAAAAUAAAAUUGACGGAACACAUGUCGGAAGGUAAUUGAGCAUAUACGAUUAAUAUCGAAUGAUGUCGAAAAGUGUGUAUAUAUGCAUACAUGUUUUUGUAUGUUGCUAUUAUAUAUAUAUAUAUAUAUAUAAUAUGACUCAUUAUAAAACUAAUAUCUGCGAAUUCUUAUUUUGUUGCUCUUUAUUAUUAUUUUUUAUUUUAGAGGCUUAAAUUUUUUAAAUGGAAACGAAAAAAAAAAAUUCAUUAAAACAGUAUGAUGGUUAAAACAGACUAAAAAUAUAAAAAUAUAUAACUUAAAAAAAAAAAAAAAACAUGCAAUACUAAAUUUGUACACAUAUAUAUUCUGUGUUUAUAAUACGCACAUACAUGAUAGCAUUAAAGCAUUCAUAUGCUAUUUUUUUUUUUUUUUUUUUUUUUUUUUUUUUUCUAAGAUAUCAGUUUAGAACUUCUUAUAUGCAAUGUGUUGUUGUCUAAUAUUUCUGAUUAUACAAGAGGGGAAGAAGAUAAACAUGAACAAAUAAAAACUCUUAAUAAAAUAAAUAAUAUUUUUUG
ensembl:lncRNA